AUGAAUCAUAAAUUCACAUUAAAUUCCACUUGUCAUGAAAUAAUUGGGCAGUGGUACCAAACAAUCAAGGACACAUCAGGGAUCACUCACAGAAAAUUUCGGAUUUUUUGAGUACUUUUGCUAUUUUUAAAAAAUAAAAUAAAACGGGAUGAAAUAUGUACAUGGCAUGUGACACAAGUGUGACAAUAUCAAUUGGACAACAAGUCACUUAAUUAAUUAAAA
rnacentral:lncRNA from 1 species